ensembl:lncRNA
GGCUCUACUCUUCUGCUCUUCUUUCUUCCCUCACUCUUUUUCCAUCUGCCCACCUCUUAGGCUCUCCCUUCUUUUCUAUCCUCCCUGCUCUUUCCUCUGCAUUCUCACUCUUCUCCUGUUCUUAUUCCCCUGCAUCAUCCUCACUCCUUUUCCCUCUGCAUCAGCACUGCUCUUCUGUUGGAUUUUGUUUCCUGUUGCCAGACUUGUCUUUAUUCUGCAUCCGCACUCCUCUUCCCCUGUUCUUUCUUCUCUGUAUCCUCACUCCUCUUUCUGCUGCCUCUGCUCUCCUCUCUGCUUUUUUUUGUUCCCUGUAUUCUCACUUGUCUUUCUUCUGACUGCUCUUGAAGAGAGAGAGCAGGACCCUGCAGUUUGAGAGAGAAGGGCCUCACAGCAAGAAAGGGGAAAGCAGCUUCACAAAGUAGAAACAAGGGGCAAAUAGAGAUAGUUUAGGUAGAGAGUGUUAGAAAACAAGGGGUUCCAAGCACUUUCACAGACACUGGGUCUGGAAUAGCAAGGAGGAUGAAGGCCAUAGAGAUAAGGGCUGGAGAGCAGCUCGAAAAAACAUUUGGCAGGGAGGUGAUUAGUUGUCUACAGGGCAAGUUGAAACUGGUUUGGGGGAUGCCCCCCCUUCAGGGUCAGAAGUUUGCAGCGAGGAAGACUACGAGCCUUUGUGAGGAAGACUGCAAGCCUUCAUCAUCACGACCUACUACGCCCGCGCAAGGGGGGGAGGGACUGCAUGCUAAUGGGCUCUCGGGAAUGUAAUGAAGAUGUAUCUGAAUUCCUGUCACCUACUGAUUAUGUAUUAGUUUGACCUAUAACUAUAGCACCAUUUCUCCUGGCGGGGUGCAAGUUAGGUGGAACGAUCCCCCUUGCACCAGGGUGUACGCGCGUCACCAAUAAACACAUAGAUGCUCCAUAUCCUUACUGGCUAUAGGGUCUGAUUUCCGCACGUCAGUCUGUCACAUAGGUCUGGGUAGGAACUUACUGGCGUUGGCAGGGCCCUUUCUUGCCACUCCUCUGUUAUUAUCGAUUAAAUCUAUCAAGAAAUCAUAAUGGCUGUUCUCUGUAAAACCAACACGUAACCUUGUUCCUUCUGCAAGCAACCAAGCCAA